rnacentral:rRNA from 1 species
AGUGAACGCUGGCGGCGUGCCUAAUACAUGCAAGUCGAACGGAGUGGCGCACGGGUUAGGAAUGUAUAGCUAAUCUGCCCUAUACUAGAGGACACCAGUUGGAAACGACCGCUAAUACUCUAUAGUGUAGGAUGAGGCUAUAGUGUAUCAGCUAUUGGGUGAGGUAAUGGCUCACCAAGGCUAUGAUGCAUAACUGGUCUGUGAGGAUGAUCAGUCACACUUGAACUGAGGCACGAUCCAGACGCCUACGGGAGGCGGCAGUAGGGAAAAUUGCUAAAUGGGGGAUACCCUGAAGCAGUGACGCCGCGUGGAGGAUGACACUUUUAGUAGCGUAAACUCCUUUUGUUAGGAAAGCGGUACCUAACGAAUAAGCACCGGCUAACUCCGUGCCAGCAGCCGCGGUAAUUC